UCAGCUUCAAGCGCCAUAGCUUUAGCUAUCUAUUUGGAGAGGUCAAAACCUCGAGCAUUGGAUUUCCUCGAUGGUCUCCCUAUGAGAUUGGCACUUCGCCAAGUUAUUGAUCAGAGGCUCUCGAUCGGAACCUCCCUUAGGCAUGUUUGAGCAGCCUCAGCAUCGGCCAGUUAUAUGGUUAUGGAUUUAUCAGCCACGAAAUUUAAUUUUCUCGACCUCCGCCUUCGCUUCAGCAAGCUCAGGUUCAAGCUCCUCGAUCCUUUUAGCUGGGGCUGAG
rnacentral:lncRNA from 1 species